rnacentral:antisense_RNA from 1 species
UUCUGUAGGAGCCGGCUUGCUGGCGAUUAUUGCGACGCGGUGUUUCAGGCGCGGCGCCUUCGCCAGCAAGCCGGCUCCUACAAAG